CAGUUUUUCACCAUUUCUUCUCUCCUCAGCAGCGCCGACACACAAACCCUAGAAAUUCGAAGACUCCGCGAUCUUCAACUCCGGCGACUGAAUCACCGCCAUCAACAAACGUAAACUGCGACAUCUGACCACAACGGACUGAAUUGCGAUGUCUCCUUGCCAAAACUGCGUCGUCUCACCACAAACUCUAAAGCUUCUACCCUACUCCGCCGAUUUUUAGCGGCGACAACCAAAGCGCCGACGUCGCCGGCACAAAACCUAGCCAGCAUAGUCUUAUCCACGCCGCCUGCGCAAACUCUUGCCGAUACAGGCUUAUCCACGUCCAACAGAAGCUAUUCAAUUUAACCGACGACAGUAUAGAAUCGCAAACCCCAGCCCCAAUUCAAGGCGUUCAGAAGUUAUUCGGUUAGAUCGAAGACGGUUUUGAUUUAAGUCACUACCUCCGUCGGCCUCGAAGUUACGUUCUCGAUUCCUACUUCCGGUUCUUAAAGAUCGCCUUCUUCCUUUGUCGCGCCGUCUUCUUCCAGAUUUCUGCCUCCUCCAGAAAUUCUCCUGCUGUUUCUUCUCCGGAAAUUCAUUCCCCCAAUUGAUUCUUCCUCCAAGAUCAUCAUCAUCCAGUCUGAACCGGAAGAGCCAAGGAUUGAUUUAACUUGGAAUGGAAUCAAUGGAUGCAAAAGAUGUCCUGGGCAACAAUGACAUAGAUGACGUUCGUUGGCUCUGUUCUUUAACCGAAUCUGAAGUUGAUCUGUUAAUUGGCUUAAAGAGUUUGGUAAAUAUGCGAGCUAAUACAAUUGGCCACAAAGAUUUGGCAAAGAAGUUUGACUUGCAUAUGCUGCGGACCUUCAGUUUCAUCUUUAUGGAACAUUUGAAAGGGCAGCAAAAAGAUUUACCAGUGGCUUCCAUGGUUAACUUACUUAAACAAAGCCUCAGUGGUAGUUUUGCGAGCAUGACUGCUGAAGAUUUACAUUUAUAUUUGUAUAAAGAUUAUAGGAAAAGGCAUAUUUACAAGUAAGUUUUUCCAGGAAAUGCUUCCCUCCCAAGAGCAAAAAUUAAAGGAAAUGCCUCCCUCCCAAGAGCAAAAAUUAAAGCGAAAAACUAGAGAGUGAAAGUUUCAAAGAGACUUGUAGUACAAUAUCCUCUUGCUCAGACACUCGUCACCAGUAUUGAAGCUUGUUGCUUGUUCAACCAAAAGGCACGAGCCGAGUGCAUCAUGGACUUAUGAACCUCUGUGUGGUUAUCUAAUUGUUUAAAAAGGGAUCACACAAACCACUUGCUAUAUGUUUUACUUACAGAAUUUGAGUGUAAGUUCAUUUCUUUGCAAUCCAUGUUUUAUUUUUCUACCUCAA